rnacentral:lncRNA from 1 species
UGGUGGUAUAUCUUUUUACUUGCAUUGUCUUUGUUUCUAAUGGCUCGUUCCUCGCGCUUUUCUGAUGUUUUGUACUGCACGAAGUCAUUCCACAAGGCCCUCAGCUUUACAUAUUGCUUGAGGUUGAAAUUUGGAGUCUUGUUUUUCUUGACAAAUUUAUUGUACAAAAACUUCUUCCAAUUCUGGAACAGUACCGCUAUCUUCUUCAUAGUCCAGUCAUAAAUUCACACCUUUAACUCUUUAUCGUUGGUGUCGAAGGUGAAAACGUCCGUGACGGCUUUCCAAACUAUCUCCUUGUCGCGAUCAGAGACAAAACUGAUUUCAGGAGCACCUCGCUUCUCUCUCCAUUCACGAGCACUGAUCGGUAUUUGAUCUAUUUGCAUGUUCACCAAGUGGUCUGCCUGUAGCUAUCUCAAACUCAGAGAUUACAUAGCGGCCCUCCAACGACUUCUUUGGCCCUCGUGGAGGUACGCUUCUCCCCGUAGAGGUCGAUCCAGAAGUCUACACGUAGAUAUAGAAACAAAAAUACUAAAUUAAUAACCAAAUAAGUCUAAAACCUAAUGUAAGAGAUGUAUUAUAUAUGUUUACAUUUACAUACCUCGUCGGUAUUUCCUUCUUGUUGCACGAUAAGUUGUUGCUCAGGCGCAUUGCCCUCUUGUUGCUCAGUCGGAUUGUCUUGCAUGAUCUCGUUGUAAUCAAUAAAGUACUGACUACCGUCGUCGAUCAUAUUUUGAAUGGCAUCUUCCAUAUAAUCAGGAUCAUCGUGAGGAUGGUCGGCCAUUUCAAUGUCUGCAACCAUAUAUAUAUAUAUAUAUUAUAUAAGAUAAGAAAUACACUAGAAUAAUAUAAGUGCUAGAGUGCUCCAAACUAAAAAAUAAUACUAAAAAAUAAUAUGAACAAUAACACUAGAAUAAUAUACUAGCACAAUAUAUUUCAUAACAAUUCAAAACACUACAAUUCAUAAUAUACUAGAAUAAUAUACUAAAAAGUCUUUUAAGCCAAGUAAUACACUAGAAUAAUAUACUAAAAAAUAAUACUAGAAUAAUAAUACGAACAAUAAUAUAUACAAAACACUACAAUUCAUAAUAUACUAGAAUAAUAUACUAAAAAGUCUUUCAAGCCAAGUAAUAUACUAGAAUAAUAUACUAAAAAAUAAUACUAAAAAAUAAUACUAGAAUAAUAGUAUAAACAAUAAUAGUAUAUAUUUUAAGACAAGUAAUACACUUGCACCUAGAAUAAUAUACCAAAAAAUAAUACUACAAAAUAAUACAAGAAUAAUAGUACAAACAUUAAUAUAUACAAAAUAAUAGAAAAAAAAUAUAUAUUAGAGACUUAUAUACUACUACUAGUACUACUACAAAUAAAAGUGCCGGAGUGUUCCAAAAAAUAAUACUAGAAUCUUUUAAGCCAAGUAAUACACUAGAAUAAUAUACUAAAAAACAAUACUACAAAAUAGUACAAGAAUAAUAGUACAAAUAUUAAUAUAUACAAAAUAAUAGAAAAUAAAAUAUAUAUUAGAGACUUAUAU